rnacentral:lncRNA from 1 species
AUGGAUUUCGAUGAAGGAUGCAUGGAUCUAGAUAUAUGUGGUAUGAACUAAUAACAUCCUUGCUGUUGUAGUAAUAAGAUGAUUCAUGGGAACUAUUUUCACGAUAACAAAACCUGUUAUUCGAUCAGUGUUCUUCUGCAGGUUAGAGGCCUGGAUCUCUCUUGGUCUGAAGGGUAUACUGAUUACUGAUCUUGUUUUUAAUCAUCUGGAUUUUCCCUUCCAAGUAUAUAUAUAUAUAUAUAUAUGUAUAUAUAUAUAGGUGCUAGGGUUUUGAGUAGUAGGUAGGUAGGGGUAGCUAGGGUUACGGAGCAGAGCUCCUUGAAGUCCAAUAGAAGGUCUUGCUGGGUGGAUUGAGCUGCUGAGCUAUGGAUCCCACAGCCCUAUCUCAGAUCAUCCGAGGAAUAGGCUUGUGGCUUGCAUAUCUCAGGAGCUGCAUUACCUGUGUUAGAUCUUUGUUUGGAUUGAAGGGAGCUCUACACCUUUCUCUCAUCCAUCAUCUCUAAUACUUAGUAGCUAGGUUUUACACGUUUCUUUUUACAUGUUUUACUUUGAUUUGUACUUUCACUGCUCCUUAAUUAAUUAUUUACCCUCUUUUGGCUCAUUAAUUAAUUACCGAUGAUUGCUCUUUCAACAAGUCCUUGCUGCUUUACUGAUUCUUUAAUUACAUAGUUUUUAGAGUUUUAGGUUCAAAAUACUCAGAUCUGUGUGUUUUUACUUUAUUUUUUGUUUGUUGUAUUAACUGACAUUUCAAACCGCUGUAACAUGAUUAUAAAUAUGUAGAUCAAUGGCUUUGUAGUUUUAAAAAUUGCAUGUUUUUCCAACUCUCAAGUCGCAUUUUGUUAUUUUUUAUAUAAGUUUCGCAGUUCAUUUGGUUGCGAUUCUAGGUUCCAUUUUUUCAGCUGAUGUCAAGUAAAAGAUUAUGUGCCUAGCAAGAAUCAGACGCGCCUGCUUCAAACGAGUCUUUGUGCACUGGAGAUGUGCAGUGCAGUGUGUAGAAGCUUGAUAGUCGCAGGUCCACUUGGGCAGUAA